rfam:Camelus ferus unplaced genomic scaffold scaffold2337, whole genome shotgun sequence.
GAGGGUAUAGCUCAAAUGGUAGAGAACAUGCUUAAUAUGCAGGAGGUCCUGGAUUCAAUCCCCAGUACCUCCU